CGAACGCUGGCGGCGUGGUUUAGGCAUGCAAGUCGAACGAUCCGCUGUAAUGUGGAUAGUGGCAAACGGGUGAGUAACGCGUGAGCAAUUUGCCUUCCGGCUCGGGAUAACUCCGCGAAAGCGGGGCUAAUACCGGGUAAGACCACAGUUUCUCCUGAAACAGUGGUUAAAGGCGGGGACCCCAACAGGGCCUGUCACCGGAAGAGGAGCUCGCGUCCUAUCAGCUUGUUGGUGAGGUAACGGCUCACCAAGGCUAAGACGGGUAGCUGGUCUGAGAGGAUGGUCAGCCACACUGGGACUGAGACACUGCCCAGACUCCUACGGGAGGCUGCAGUCGAGAAUCUUUUGCAAUGGGCGAAAGCCUGACAAUGCGACGCCGCGUGAGCGAUGAAGCCCUUCGGGGUGUAAAGCUCUGUCAGCCCGGAUGAAUAUCCGUUCUAAAAUAUAGAACGGAGAUGACGGUACGGGCAGAGGAAGCCACGGCUAACUCCGUG
rnacentral:rRNA from 1 species